rnacentral:rRNA from 1 species
GACGAACGCUGGCGGCGUGCUUAACACAUGCAAGUCGAACGGAAAGGCCCUGCAUUUGUGGGGUGCUCGAGUGGCGAACGGGUGAGUAACACGUGAGUAACCUGCCCUCGACUUUGGGAUAACUUCAGGAAACUGGGGCUAAUACCGGAUAGGAGCUCCUGCUGCAUGGUGGGGGUUGGAAAGUUUCGGCGGUUGGGGAUGGACUCGCGGCUUAUCAGCUUGUUGGUGGGGUAGUGGCUUACCAAGGCUUUGACGGGUAGCCGGCCUGAGAGGGUGACCGGCCACAGUGGGACUGAGAUACGGCCCAGACUCCUACGGGAGGCAGCAGUGGGGAAUAAUGCACAAUGGGCGGAAGCGUGAUGCAGCAACGCCGCGUGCGGGAUGACGGCCUUCGGGUUGUAAACCGCUUUCGCCUGUGACGAAGCGUGAGUGACGGUAAUGGGUAAAGAGACACCGGCUAACUACGU